rnacentral:rRNA from 1 species
UGGGGAAUAUUGGACAAUGGGCGCAAGCCUGAUCCAGCCAUGCCGCGUGAGUGAUGAAGGCCUUAGGGUUGUAAAGCUCUUUUGUCCGGGAAGAUAAUGACCGUACCGGAAGAAUAAGCUCCGGCUAACUUCGUGCCAGCAGCCGCGGUAAUACGAAGGGAGCUAGCGUUGUUCGGAAUUACUGGGCGUAAAGCGCAUGCAGGCGGAUCGUUAAGUCGAGGGUGAAAUCCCAGGGCUCAACCCUGGAACUGCCUUCGAUACUGGCGACCUUGAGGCCGGGAGAGGUGAGUGGAACUCCGAGUGUAGAGGUGAAAUUCGUAGAUAUUCGGAAGAACACCAGUGGCGAAGGCGGCUCACUGGCCCGGUACUGACGUUGAGAUGCGAAAGCGUGGGGAGCAAACA